rnacentral:lncRNA from 1 species
GGGGGGUAGGGGGGUGCGGGAGCGCCGGCCGCGUCUGGACGGGAGCCGCCGCCGACUCCUCAGUCUCGACCGUCGGCGUCGCCCAAUCGCGUCGCGACGAUCCGCAUCAGCGGAACGAAAGGAUACUGAUAACACGUUGCGUGUUUUUUGUCGCUGUCGGUUUUGAUUUUGGAUCCCCCCGAUUUUUUUCUGAAAAUUUGCCGGGAAGCUCCGAUCGCUCGUGAAGAUUCUCGUUGUUAACUCAGUUCAGUGUACUCACAUUCUUGGUUUCGAAUUUUUCGCACCCAAGUGGGUUGUUUUGGUGAUAGUGUGUGUGGUGCGACCGAGUUCUGGAUUCCGCCUGUUAUUGGGAUUUCCGCUUUGAACAAUUGGAUACUAGGAAUUUAUUAAAAUGAAUUCCAUCUCAGGCUUAUCUGUUCUAAAAAAACCUUUCUCCUGGAAGUUUACCAAGUACCAUCGAUUUCAGAAGAAAAUAAAGCUGCAAAUCAAACAGAAAGAGGACGAGGUCUCGGUGAAGGACGCGCUGAACAUGAGCUGGGAGGACGAACCAGAGAGCUACACGGUGCUGGAAGUGGGCACACCGCCGGACUCGGGGAUCCACGAGCCGUGCCCGCAGUUCUGCUGGGACUUCGACAGGAAGCGCAAAAAGCAGAAGAGACCGCCAAACGCCAAGAGGGCCGACGACUCAGAGGUGGAUAGCGACCUGGGCAGCGAGACGGAGGAAGACGGCGUGUACAGCACGGUUGCCGAUGACGCCAGGCGCAGCUCCCAGUAUUGGUCCUUGCCCGGCGCUCUUGGAACGGUGCCAUUGUACGAGAACGCAUCGAAGAAAAAGGCCACGAAGCACUUCUACGAGAACUACCGGCUCUCCUCAUCCCUGAGCAGCUCGGACGAGGACGAGACAGCAACGGGCUCUAGCGGAGAGAACGAGGAACUCGAGCACAUCUACGACUACGUAGAAAACGUCCACGAGGGAGGAAGUCCACUGGGUAAAUCUUACCCGGUCAACGUCUUCCUAAGUCUCAUUGAGGGGGCCGACAACACCAUCAGCCCAGACCCAAACAUUUACGAGGUGCCCCCCGGCGCCAUCUUGAAUUUAGCCGGGUCGCCCCCCGACAACCACUCCAUGCACAACAUAACACCCCCCAACGGGUUCAAGGACACCCUCACCUGGGGCCGCCGCCACGAGCUUAGCUCUCUCCCGGUCGACGCUCUUUACUCGUCCGUCGUCAAGCCCAAGAGGAAGAAAGUGAAGAAAAGGCCCGGUCUUGACGUGCUCAAGAAUCUCACAGCGCAGGAGGACGACGAGGCACACACAGUGACAUCUACUGGUGAGGAAGUCAAAGAAAAGACAGGGACUGCUAAGGAGGUACAAGAGGUUGAGGCUCUAGAGGUGAACUCAAAGAACGAGUCUUUGAAAUUAGACUCGAAGAAGGAGUCCUUGAAAUUGGACCCUAAGAACGAAGAGGACGCGAAGGUGGCUCCUGAAGUAGCACCAGAGGGUGUUCUUGCAAAAAGCUCAGUGACUACCAGUAACGAGCCGGUCAAAAAAGAAGAAGGAACGAGGAUAGCUGAAGUGAGAACGGAGUCUGAGGUGGAGAAGGCUACAAAAGAAUUGAAAAAUGCUGUGGGGAAAAUCGGAAGGUCCAGGAGACAGAACGAGGCUGUUGAACCCUCUGCUGAGUUUGAUAAAGUCGCCGCUGAGUUGACUGUUGCCGAGAGUAAGGCUGCGAAACCAGGGUGCCGGGCGGAGAAAAAGACGAAAGAGAGACCAGCGAGAAAACCCAAGCCUGCGAUCAAACCAGAAAGCACCGAUAAAGAGGCCCCGAUAUUGCCAGAAGCUCUGGAAAAAGCUGAAAUUGACAAGGCUGUGGACUCAACACAGUCUUUCAAAGAAGAAAAACCUGAAUUAAACUGUGAAACACGAGGCGGAAAAAAUGGGGCAUCGGUUACUGAUGAAUGUAAAAUAAAGAAAAGUGAACCGCACAAAGAGGCAGUGAUCAAGUCAAAGGAAGUCACAGCCCAAAAUCAUGAAAGUUCAGAAAAGCGGAGUAAGUCACCGCAGAACAAAAUUAAAUCAGAUACUAACGAAAGGGCCAAAAAAUCAGAUGGAUCCCAGGGCACUUUAAGACGUAAGAAAGGAAAAGCCAAACAUGCACCGAACGUCAAGUCUCCUGAAGAGACAGCGUCUCCACCUGCGGGAGACUCGUGUCCCCCGGAGAGUAACUUAAAACCAACCUCCGUUAACAAGAAAAAACAGAAUAAAAACUCCCGACCAGAUCCUAAAGAAAAAAUGAAAGGUCCAAAAGCUCCCGCUAAAAGUGACAGGCCCAAAGCUGACGAUUGUGACGCAGCGAGUCGACCUCCAAUAAUCCCGAUUCUGAAGAAGGUUGUCAACGAAAAACCAACUCCAAGCCAAGAGAGAUAUCUCAAACGGCAGAUAAGUCACUCCCCGUUGGAAACCAUCGACCAAACCGAUGAGAAAAAAAGUAAAGCGAACAAACUAAUUACGCCGCCAGAAGUACUUGCAAACAAGACUGGAAAUAAUGAUCAGGUCGGCGAAACCCCUCAAAAUUCCACCUGUGAGCCAAAGGAAAAGUUAAGCACCGAGAUUCAAUUUUGUGGAAAAGACGAGACAUCAAAAAAGUCAGAGCAUGACGACACAUCGCAUUUGGUUAGCGAGAACGAGACAGAACAGACGAAACUCACAAGUUUCUCUGAGAAUCUUCAGCAAAAUACGCCCAUCGCCAUUGAAAUUUCUGACGAUGGCACCUGGGGAUCAGCCGAUCCGAACUGUACCUCUGAAAAAGCUGAGACAGAAAGCUCUGAAAAGUGCGAGGAACUCAAAAGUUCAGACUUCCUAAACGCAAAUCUGUCUGCCGAGGACAUAAAAAUGCAGCAUGUAUUGUCCGAGUAUGGGAACUCCUAUUUCAUUCAAACCGCCAACAAACCUGUCGAGAAGAAAAGUUCUAAACCAGCUGGCGCCAAUAAUCAUGUUGGGAAUAAAGGGAAAGUUCAAAGCUCUGCGCCGGCUCAGAGAUGCAGCCUCAGAGACGAGCUCAAACGCUUUGUAAGAGAGUCUGAGAUGGCUGCUCAGAGAGCUUUGGAAGCUGAGAAGGACCUUCCAAAAGAGCAGCAACCGGAAAAGAUUGUUGGAUCCGAAUUGACUCCGCAAGAAAUUCAUAAACUUGAGUCAGGUACGGAGGCAGAAGAUGCUGAAAUGUUGGCAAAGGGAAGGAAGGGCGUUCUUGAAAAGACGAUGGUCCGCGCUAAGAAGAGGGACAGCUGGAUCAAAGGUGAAGAUGUCACUUUAAGCACUGAUAAAGAGCGAAGAAUCGAUGAUUGGCUUUCAACUGGGGCGCAGCAGUUAAGCCUGCCCGUGAAGCUACCAGAGGAAAUCUACGACCUUGCCAUGGAUCCUAAUAUCUCUCUCUUGAUCACAAAAGAAGGUGAGUACAAUUUUGUGAUGCCUAAAUACAAAACAAGGACAAAAGGAUACCCCACUUCGCCUUGCGCUAAUGAGUUGUAG